AGUGAACGCUGGCGGUAGGCCUAACACAUGCAAGUCGAACGGCAGCACAGUAAGAGCUUGCUCUUACGGGUGGCGAGUGGCGGACGGGUGAGGAAUACAUCGGAAUCUACUUUUUCGUGGGUGAUAACGUAGGGAAACUUACGCUAAUACCGCAUACGACCUACGGGUGAAAGCAGGGGAUCUUCGGACCUUGCGCGAUUGAAUGAGCCGAUGUCGGAUUAGCUAGUUGGCGGGGUAAGGGCCCACCAAGGCGACGAUCCGUAGCUGGUCUGAGAGGAUGAUCAGCCACACUGGAACUGAGACACGGUCCAGACUCCUACGGGAGGCAGCAGUGGGGAAUAUUGGACAAUGGGCGCAAGCAUGAUCCAGCAAUACCGCGUGGGUGAAGAAGGCCUUCGGGUUGUAAAGCCCUUUUGUUGGGAAAGAAAAGCAGCAGGUUAAUACCCCGCUGUUAUGACGGUACCAAAAGAAUAAGCACCGGCUAACUUCGUG
rnacentral:rRNA from 1 species